rnacentral:rRNA from 1 species
AAACGCUUGAAGUCAGUCGCGUUGUCUGGGGAUCAACCUUGCUUUUGCUGGGUGUACUUUCCAGAUGACGGGUCAGCAUCAAUUUUGACCGUUGGAUAAAGUGUAGGGAAAUGUGGCAUCUUCGGGUGUGUUAUAGUCCUUGCUCGCAUACAACGGUUGGGAUUGAGGAACUCAGUACGCCGCAAGGCCGGGAAUUUAUUCUACGUUCGUACUUAGGAUGCUGGCAUAAUGGCUUUAAUCGA